GGCGCUAUAGUGUAGUGGCUAUCACAACGGAUUCUGACUCUCCAGUUGCCGGCAAUUUUUCCGUUAACCCAGGUUCGAACCCUGGUAGCGCCU